rnacentral:rRNA from 1 species
UUUCCGUAGGUGAACCUGCGGAAGGAUCAUUACCGAUUUUAGCGGACCUGAUCUCUCUUUGGUCAUGGUCUCGCGAAAACUUGUAUUUAAAACCCCACUCUUAUAAAUUAAAAUCCAUUUAUAAUUAUAAUAAAUUAAGAUCACUUUCAACAACGGAUCUCUUGGUUCUCGCAUCGAUGAAGAACGUAGCGAAGUGCGAUAAGUAAUGUGAAUUGCAGAAUUCCGUGAAUCAUCGAAUUUUUGAACGCAAAUUGCACUUCCUGGCAACCCGGGGAGUAUGCCUGUUUGAGGGUCAGUAUUAAUAAAAAUCGGCGUGUUGCUCUUUUGUGACGUUCCGGAGUUUGGGUCAUCUUAUAACAAUACCUUUCAGGUGUUUUUUAAGAGGCUUAAAAUUGACAUCUUUUUUGUGCAUUUUAGACGUACAUAAAUUCUUUUUAUUCGUUUAUCUUAAUGCCAAAAUAUAUUAGAUGCGACCAUAUCGUGCGGUACCGUGUCUAUAAAUUUUCAUGAUUUGACCUCAAAUCAGGUAAGAAUACCCGCUGAACUUAA